rnacentral:lncRNA from 1 species
AAUGGAGAUAAAUUUGCAGCUAGUGUGAAUAAUAUAAGUUUUGUUAUGCCUCGUAUUGACAUACUUGAAGCUUAUUAUAAGCAGAUAAAUGGGAUUUAUGGAGAUGAAUUUCCUAGUGUUCCACCUUUGAUAUUCAACUAUACAGGGGAUUCAUUACCUGUGGAAUUUCAAAGAGUUGAUAGGAGAACAGAAGUGCAUGUUCUUGAAUAUGGAUCAACGGUGGAAAUUGACAUACUUGAAGCUUAUUAUAAGGAGAUUAAUGGGAUUUAUGGAGAUGAUUUUCCUAGUGUUCCACCUUUGCAAUUCAACUACACUGGGGAUUCAUUACCUGUUGAAUUUCAAAGAGUUGAUAGGAAAACAGAAGUGCAUGUUCUUGAAUAUGGAUCAAGGGUGGAGAUUGUUUUGCAGGGGACUAAUCUAUUGGGUGGAGUU